GGCGAUAUCUUGUUUUUUCGGAUGUUUUUUCGCCCCGAUCUUCGGGGCGUUUUUAUAUCUGAAGUAUUGAUGUACUAAUAUUCUGGGCUAUAUGCCCUUUUUUU
rfam:Rheinheimera sp. SA_1 Contig_1, whole genome shotgun sequence.